AUACGGAGGAUCCGAGCGUUAUCCGGAUUUAUUGGGUUUAAAGGGUGCGCAGGCGGCCAUUUAGGUCAGCGGUUAAAUCGUGGGGCUCAACCCCAUUCUGCCGUUGAUACUGGGUGGCUUGAUUGCGGUCGAGGUUGGCGGAAUUCGUUGUGUAGCGGUGAAAUGCAUAGAUAUGACGAAGAACACCGAUUGCGUAGGCAGCUGACCAGACCGCAAAUGACGCUCAUGCACGAAAGUGCGGGGAUCGAACAGGAUUAGAUACCCUGGUAGUCCGCACAGUAAACGAUGAAUACUUGUUUUCGGCGAUAUAAUGUCGGAGGCAAAGCGAAAGCGAUAAGUAUUCCACCUGGGGAGUACGCCGGCACCGGUGAAACUCAAAUGAAUUGACGGGG
rnacentral:rRNA from 1 species